UCAAUACUUAAUUGAUUUUUGUUUUCAGCAUGCAACUUGGCCACUACAUUCAGUUUCGCGGCAGUCGCUGGAAUUACCGCGUAUGGAUACCUUCACGAUUACCACACCAUGUCCGUACCAUUUGAAAUCGACUACGGGUCACUCACAGCGAACGAAAAUGAUUUGAUAAUAUUUUGGGAUUUUUCUUCCUUGCAAAUGUGAUGAUUCGUGUGAUGGUCAACCGUUAUGUGCUGCGCAUUUACCGCAAUGAAGAUGACUAUAUCGCUAUUUUCGAAGGGCGUUUUCCGUUUACUCGAAGGGAAUUAAGGUUCAAAAGGGGGAACGUUGUACCGGUUCCAGAAGGAGGAAUAGUUCCGUGGCAGGAUGCUCGAUU